AUGGACGAGGACGUGUUGCACCCUGAAGAGCCUCAUCAUCGCCUGCUCUUGAGGUUCACAGAUGAUACCUUUGAUCCAGAACUUGCAGCAACAAUAGCACCGGAAGCAGUACUCAGAACAAGUCAUACCUAAUGCUGCAGGAAACAUUUCCAAACGUGUAUGAAGAUACAUAUUGGUGGCAGAGCUAAUUCAACAGAAGCAACUCCAUCUACCUUUUCAUGUUAUUUUGACACCAAAACAAAUCUUGAAAGUGAAUGAAUACAUAUUGCUUUGUUAAAUACAUAUUUGACUUAUAUGGUG
rnacentral:lncRNA from 1 species